rnacentral:rRNA from 1 species
ACUCAAAGGAAUUGACGGGGGCCCGCACAAGCGGUGGAUCAUGUGGUUUAAUUCGAAGCAACGCGCAGAACCUUACCUAGGUUUGACAUCCUCGGACAACCGUAGAAAUACGGCUUUCGUAGCAAUACGACCGAGAGACAGGUGCUGCAUGGCUGUCGUCAGCUCGUGUGGUGACAUGUUGGGUUAAGUCCCGCAACGAGCGCAACCCUUGUCUUUAGUUGCCAGCAUUCAGUUGGGCUCUCUAAAGAGACUGCCGUGGUGAACACGGAGGAAGGUGGGGAUGACGUCAAGUCCUCAUGGCCUUUAUACCUAGGGCGACACACGUGAUACAAUGGUCGGUACAGAGGGACGCGAAGGGGUGACCCCAAGCCAAUCUCAAAAAGCCGAUCUCAGUUCGGAUUGGAGUCUGCAACCCGACUCCAUGAAGGUGGAAUCGCUAGUAAUCGCGGAUCAGCACGCCGCGGUGAAUACGUUCCCGGGCCUUGUACACACCGCCCGU